GUAGGGUGCGAGCGUUAAUCGGAAUUACUGGGCGUAAAGCGUGCGCAGGCGGUGAUGUAAGACAGAUGUGAAAUCCCCGGGCUCAACCUGGGAACUGCGUUUGUGACUGCAUCACUCGAGUACGGCAGAGGGAGGUGGAAUUCCGCGUGUAGCAGUGAAAUGCGUAGAUAUGCGGAGGAACACCGAUGGCGAAGGCAGCCUCCUGGGCCAGUACUGACGCUCAUGCACGAAAGCGUGGGGAGCAAACAGGAUUAGAUACCCUGGUAGUCCACGCCCUAAACGAUGUCAACUAGUUGUUCGGUGAGGAGACUCAUUGAGUAACGCAGCUAACGCGUGAAGUUGACCGCCUGGGGAGU
rnacentral:rRNA from 1 species